ACUGAUGUAUUCAACGAGUUUAUAGCCUUGGCCGACAGGCCCGGGUAAUCUUUGAAAUUUUAUCGUGAUGGGGAUAGAUCAUUGCAAUUCCUUGCCUUCAAA
rnacentral:ncRNA from 1 species